UAAUGGGUCAGCGACUUAUAUUCUGUAGCAAGGUUAACCGAAUAGGGGAGCCGAAGGGAAACCGAGUCUUAACUGGGCGUUAAGUUGCAGGGUAUAGACCCGAAACCCGGUGAUCUAGCCAUGGGCAGGUUGAAGGUUGGGUAACACUAACUGGAGGACCGAACCGACUAAUGUUGAAAAAUUAGCGGAUGACUUGUGGCUGGGGGUGAAAGGCCAAUCAAACCGGGAGAUAGCUGGUUCUCCCCGAAAGCUAUUUAGGUAGCGCCUCGUGAAUUCAUCUCCGGGGGUAGAGCACUGUUUCGGCAAGGGGGUCAUCCCGACUUACCAACCCGAUGCAAACUGCGAAUACCGGAGAAUGUUAUCACGGGAGACACACGGCGGGUGCUAACGUCCGUCGUGAAGAGGGAAACAACCCAGACCGCCAGCUAAGGUCCCAAAGUCAUGGUUAAGUGGGAAACGAUGUGGGAAGGCCCAGACAGCCAGGAUGUUGGCUUAGAAGCAGCCAUCAUUUAAAGAAAGCGUAAUAGCUCACUGGUCGAGUCGGCCUGCGCGGAAGAUGUAACGGGGCUAAACCAUGCACCGAAGCUGCGGCAGCGACACUAUGUGUUGUUGGGUAGGGGAGCGUUCUGUAAGCCUGUGAAGGUGGCCUGUGAGGGUUGCUGGAGGUAUCAGAAGUGCGAAUGCUGACAUAAGUAACGAUAAAGCGGGUGAAAAGCCCGCUCGCCGGAAGACCAAGGGUUCCUGUCCAACGUUAAUCGGGGCAGGGUGAGUCGACCCCUAAGGCGAGGCCGAAAGGCGUAGUCGAUGGGAAACAGGUUAAUAUUCCUGUACUUGGUGUUACUGCGAAGGGGGGACGGAGAAGGCUAUGUUGGCCGGGCGACGGUUGUCCCGGUUUAAGCGUGUAGGCUGGUUUUCCAGGCAAAUCCGGAAAACCAAGGCUGAGGCGUGAUGACGAGGCACUACGGUGCUGAAGCGACAAAUGCCCUGCUUCCAGGAAAAGCCUCUAAGCAUCAGGUAACAUCAAAUCGUACCCCAAACCGACACAGGUGGUCAGGUAGAGAAUACCAAGGCGCUUGAGAGAACUCGGGUGAAGGAACUAGGCAAAAUGGUGCCGUAACUUCGGGAGAAGGCACGCUGAUAUGUAGGUGAAGCGACUUGCUCGUGGAGCUGAAAUCAGUCGAAGAUACCAGCUGGCUGCAACUGUUUAUUAAAAACACAGCACUGUGCAAACACGAAAGUGGACGUAUACGGUGUGACGCCUGCCCGGUGCCGGAAGGUUAAUUGAUGGGGUUAGCGGUAACGCGAAGCUCUUGAUCGAAGCCCCGGUAAACGGCGGCCGUAACUAUAACGGUCCUAAGGUAGCGAAAUUCCUUGUCGGGUAAGUUCCGACCUGCACGAAUGGCGUAAUGAUGGCCAGGCUGUCUCCACCCGAGACUCAGUGAAAUUGAACUCGCUGUGAAGAUGCAGUGUACCCGCGGCAAGACGGAAAGACCCCGUGAACCUUUACUAUAGCUUGACACUGAACAUUGAGCCUUGAUGUGUAGGAUAGGUGGGAGGCUUUGAAGUGUGG
rnacentral:rRNA from 2 species